rnacentral:rRNA from 1 species
UACGGGGGGGGCAAGCGUUGUUCGGAAUUACUGGGCGUAAAGGGCUCGUAGGCGGCCAACUAAGUCAUACGUGAAAUCCCUCGGCUUAACCGGGGAACUGCGUCUGAUACUGGAUGGCUUGAGUUCGGGAGAGGGAUGCGGAAUUCCAGGUGUAGCGGUGAAAUGCGUAGAUAUCUGGAGGAACACCGGUGGCGAAGGCGGCAUCCUGGACCGAUACUGACGCUGAGGAGCGAAAGCGUGGGGAGCAAACAGG